ACAAGCGGUGGAGCAUGUGGUUAAUUCGAAGCAACGCGAAGAACCUUACCACGGCCUUGACAUGCAGAGAACUUCCAGAGAUGGAUUGGUGCCUUCGGGAACUCUGACACAGGUGCUGCAUGGCUGUCGUCAGCUCGUGUGUGAGAUGUUGGGUUAAGUCCCGUAACGAGCGCAACCCUUGUCCUUAGUUACCAGCACGUUAUGGUGGGCACUCUAAGGAGACUGCCGGUGACAAACCGGAGGAAGGUGGGGAUGACGUCAAGUCAUCAUGGCCCUUACGGCCUGGGCUACACACGUGCUACAAUGGUCGGUACAAAGGGUUGCCAAGCCGCGAGGUGGAGCUAAUCCCAUAAAACCGAUCGUAGUCCGGAUCGCAGUCUGCAACUCGACUGCGUGAAGUCGGAAUCGCUAGUAAUCGUGAAAUCAGAAUGUCACGGUGAAUACGUUCCCGGGCCUU
rnacentral:rRNA from 1 species